CAAAUGUCUUUUCAUACGACAACCAGGUGCUCCGCAGGGCGCAGCUUUAUACGACCGCAGAGGUCGAACCCUGAACAGUUGGGGCAAGUAUGGACAAAACAUUCUAGCGUGAUACAGCUCUGAAUUUGGAUUGUGAUCAAAUUUUUGACAUUACAUGGUUUUUUUUACACAAAACAAAUGUCAAGAUUUUACAAAUUUUACAAUUAAAGAUUUCUUCUUCAAACUUUUUAAAUCUAAAAUUAAAUAGUUGACACAGCAUAGGUUUCUGACACAGAAUGAAUGUGGUCUAAUGAACUUAAAAGUUUGUUUUUGCCUUUUAGCAAUUCACUAUGCUGUUGAAUAUUAAUCCUCUCAAAAAAAUGUUUGAAGAAAUUUUCUUUUUAUUUAUGAAAUCUGAAAUGAGAAAAAUUUAACCCCCCCCCCCCCCCCCUUUUUCACAUCCCCGUUUCCCUUUUUCCAAAACUGAUAUCAAUUCAAAUUUCUAAUGGAGUUUGCAACAAUAACUACUCUUUUAAAUAC
rnacentral:lncRNA from 1 species